rnacentral:rRNA from 1 species
UACGUAGGGUGCGAGCGUUAAUCGGAAUUACUGGGCGUAAAGCGUGCGCAGGCGGUUGUUUAAGACAGAUGUGAAAGCCCCGGGCUCAACCUGGGAAUUGCGUUUGUGACUGGACGACUAGAGUGCAACAGAGGGGGGUGGAAUUCCACGUGUAGCAGUGAAAUGCGUAGAGAUGUGGAGGAACACCGAUGGCGAAGGCAGCCCCCUGGGUUGACACUGACGCUCAUGCACGAAAGCGUGGGGAGCAAACAGGAUUAGAUACCCUGGUAGUCCACGCCCUAAACGAUGUCAACUAGGUGUUGGGGAAGGAGACUUCUUUAGUACCGCAGCUAACGCGUGAAGUUGACCGCCUGGGGAGUACGGUCGCAAGAUUAAA